AUAGUUCCCUGGCAGAAGAGACACUAUGAUCACAAAGAUGGUUUUCCUAGAGGCUUACCCAUUGCAUGUGGGAUGUGGCGACCCCUGCAAUUUCCCCAGAUGUGGGAAACUCAACUGCACAAUAUAUGGUAACAGGAGACCCCAUUUGCACUCUCCCC